rnacentral:rRNA from 1 species
UACAGGGGGUGCAAACGUUGCUCGGAAUCAUUGGGCGUAAAGCGCACGUAGGCGGUUCGUUAUGUCGGAUGUGAAAGCCCUUGGCUUAACCCGAGGAAGUGCAUCCGAAACUGGCGAGCUAGAGUACUAAAGAGGAUCGCGGGAAUUCCCGGUGUAGAGGUGAAAUUCGUAGAUAUCGGGAGGAACACCGGUGGCGAAGGCGGCGAUCUGGGUAGAUACUGACGCUGAGGUGCGAAAGCGUGGGGAGCAAACAGGGAUUAAGAAACCCUGAGUAC